rnacentral:rRNA from 1 species
ACACUCCUGCGGGAGGCAGCAGUGGGGAAUUUUGGACAAUGGGCGAAAGCCUGAUCCAGCCAUGCCGCGUGCAGGAUGAAGGCCUUCGGGUUGUAAACUGCUUUUGUACGGAACGAAACGGCCUUUUCUAAUAAAGAGGGCUAAUGACGGUACCGUAAGAAUAAGCACCGGCUAACUGCGUGCCAGCAGCCGCGGUAAUACGUAGGGUGCAAGCGUCAAUCGGAAUUACUGGGCGUAAAGCGUGCGCAGGCGGUUAUGUAAGACAGUUGUGAAAUCCCCGGGCUCAACCUGGGAACUGCAUCUGUGACUGCAUAGCUAGAGUACGGUAGAGGGGGAUGGAAUUCCGCGUGUAGCAGUGAAAUGCGUAGAUAUGCGGAGGAACACCGAUGGCGAAGGCAAUCCCCUGGACCUGUACUGACGCUCAUGCACGAAAGCGUGGGGAGCAAACAGGAUUAGAAACCCUAGUAGUCCCAU